rnacentral:lncRNA from 1 species
CACGCUCAACUGCCUACUGCAGCAGCUCAGCUGACCUGGUUCCACGCUCAGCUGCUUGCUUGAGCAGCUCAGCUGACCUGGUCCCAACUGGGCGUGGACCUGGCUGUCCUGGCCUGAUGCUUAGCUGACCUAGUCUAGUGCUUAGCUGACCUGGUCUAGUGCUUGCUUGACCUGACCUGGUGCUUGGUGCAUGGCUGACCUGGCCUGGUGUUUGGCUGACCUGGCCUGGUGCU